ensembl:lncRNA
CGCACGGCCUGGGCGAUCAGGGACACCGUAGAGGGAGGGCUCGCAGUGCGGUGUCCUAGAGGAUGAAGCCGCGCCGCUGCGCCGCCACAGAUGGUGCUCCCGGACUAUGGGAGGCGACCUCGCACCGGAGCUCACCUUGAUGUAGCCAGCCAGAAGAACAACGGGCGCCCAGAGCCUGAGUAGCAGCAAGACAAGAAGCUUGCCGGUGGCCGCCAUCCCUGGCCUGGUCGCCGUGGCCUGGGCUCUCCUACACUCAUGCACAGCCAGACCAGAGCGUCUCCCUAUCAGCAUCAAAAACCUUCUGAAGCCGGCUCACCACCACUCUGGUGGGUUUUAACCGACUUCAACAGACUUCACAAAACCACGCCCUUCUUCAACAGGAUCCAAUACAAGCAGGCAUAAGUAGCCUAACUUGCCGCCCCUUGUUUAACCAAGGCCCAAUCAGAGCAUGGAUGCACCGUCUCCCCUCCCCGUCCAGCACGUGCCCCCGCAUGGCCCCGCCCCAAGACACGACAGCCCCGCCCCUGCUCUGGACUCCAGGCUGGGGAAUCAGGAGUAUUGUGGGCAGACCAUGGGCCGCUGUUCCUAAGGCCUGAGGCUCCUGCGUGGUUAUCUAUUGGGGUGGUUCUACAUCAUCCACCUUCAGCCUAGGGAUUCAGGCACGCCCCACUCCCCCGUCCCUGCGGGAUAUUUUCCGAUUCCUUUGGGUACAGCUCUCUUUGGAGCUUCUGGAAAAUGUUUUAAUUAAAAAACAGGAUGAAUUGUUGGGAGGUCCGGACAGUUAGGAGGGGCUUAGUGAAUCAGUUUCAAGGAUAUCCUGAAAUUGUUUUAAAUUGCUGAAGGAGCUUUCCCAAAGGAUACAACGUUUCAAUCUACCCUCCUGUUACCCUACAGGGGGGAAGGCUCCAUCUACACUGCUACAGCUUUUUCAGGGAAGCAUUAAUUUUUUGGGGGGUCAAAGGUCUCCAAUUGUAGCCUGCUGGGGAAAGAGCUCACACACCACCAGUUAGUAACCCCUUUUCUACCCUCUGUAAGGAAGUGCAAUAAACUCCCUGAGGCCCCACAGUGAACUCUAGCC